CUGCUGGAUACAAACUGUUUUUACACUACGAGAUGGCGUGCUGUGUGCUGGGCUGUAAAAACCGGUAUGCCACAACGAGCCAGGUCAAAUUCUACAGAAUUCCGACAGGAAUACAGCGGUUCCGCGCCACCAGAGACGUUUAUGGCUACAAGCUAUCAAACGUGCAAACAACAGCGCGGACGAACCACAAGCAAGUGCUCGAAUCUGCAGCGCUCAUUUCGUAUCAGGUGAAGCAUCCAUGGACCAGUGCAGUCCUGACUUUGUGCCUUCUGUGUUUCCAUGCAUGAAUGUUCAACAGAACUACAAGAAAAAGUUUUCACGCCA